rnacentral:tmRNA from 1 species
GGGGGUGACAUGGGUUCGACGGGGGUCAAGAGGCGACGGGGUGCAUGCCGGGUACCGUGCCGGCCCGAAAGAGGCACGGAAAAAAACAACUGCCAACGCGCAGUACGCUCAGGCCGCGUGAAGACGGCCUCGCUCCUCCUCACCUCGCCCGCGGGUGAGGGAUGGGGCGCCGACCCAGACGGGCUCGGUCAGGGCGAUCGAUCGGCGCGCCCUGGCGACACCGGGAUGCCGAUCUAGUCGCGUGAGGCGCGCGUCGCCUCGCCUCCUCGCGCGGCGAAUCGUCGAGAGGCGACUAAGCAUGUAGAGCCUCGCGCCGGAAGGCCCUCGGACAGCGGUUCGAUUCCGCUCACCUCCACCA